AUCCGGUUGAUGAGUCCCUAAUAGAACGAAACACGCGUUCUAGAU
rnacentral:hammerhead_ribozyme from 1 species